CAACCAUUGAAGUAUUCGGUUUCAACAGCGACUCAUUUGGCGCACAUCAUUCCCUUUCUAUGAAACUGUAAACCGCAUUCACCGGUUCUAACUCUAUCGUGAUAUCAACUAUAUAGCGGUUUACCCGAGCAUUGCAAUUCGUGUGCGCGGCACAUUAUUUCUUCUGCGCGGCAGCGGUGGUAGAAGUGCGCGGCCGCGCGCGCGCGCAGCUUAGAGGGAACAUUGGUUGUGGGCCAUAUUUUAGUUUUAAACCCUGGUGCUGGUCGCUCCACAUGUGCUUGUCGUUGACUGGGUUGGGUAAAAAGUGCCAGUUCUGUCCCAACUCGAGACAAAUGGAUGCAACAGACCUUAAAGUUUACAAGACUUGUGUUGACCUCCUAGGACUAGCUUUGCGAACAGAGUCGUCCUUCAGGUUCAGAGAAGCAGCUACACCUCACGCUUUUUCAGGUGCUUUGGUUACCCUCCAUCAGCGGUGGCAACCAUCACACACAGGUUGUGACCUUAAGAAGAGGUCAGGGUUCAGGGAAAUCACCAGUAACAUCACAGGUCCACAACAUUUCCACCAGCUUCUGGACUACAUUCAUCGUUCACUCUAGGCUAAUGUGCGCACACUUCCGCAACACAAAACCGAAAGGUUUCGCAAGAUGUACUGUCGACUAACUUGAAGACACCUGAUUUAUAUUGAAUGGUUAAAGAGCACAAUUUUCCAAAUACACCUUCAGAUGGAACAGUCAUUAAUAAUGAUAGAUAUUACUGCCGAUGUGACUCUGAAAGCUCCCGUAACCAUUUUUGGACUUUUCCUCAAAGGUGCUUAUGUACGAAUGCUGGGUUGUAUGGUGUCAUGUCCAUACCUUAGUAGACGGCCUGUACAAACAGCAUGACCUUUGGUCUCACUGAAGUUUCAAACUAUUUAUCUCUGUAGUCGUUCCUAAUUUGUGAAGGUACGCAGAUGCCUCCAAACAGAGGCCUUGAGGCAUUUGGUUUACCCAGACAGUGUGCACAUGCAGAUUUAUUACCUGAAAGACCUUGGGUAAAUAUUUUUGGGCCUUGAACAAUGGGUUUGCAGCAGGAGAUCCACCAUAAGCACAGCCAUGUACGUGAAGUGCAGGCACUUUUCUGAGAAUAAACAGAACUUGACCUUCUGGUUCUGGUUGACUUUGGUAUGAAUGACUAGAUGGAUUAUGUACAGAUUGCGAGUGUUUAUUGACAAAUUAUUGUCUUUAUAAUGGAAACAUAUUUCUGAAUGUUCAAGGAUGCAAUGACAGAAGGACUAAGGUAAUAGGUUUUAUAGUGUGAAUAUUGUUUUAGUACAUAAUGAUUGUUUAUUCAUGGUGAACUCUUUAGUCGUUGUCCAUCCCCCACAGGACUUCGGCCAAUCUUCGAAAUGUAUAAAGAUAUUUAAUGUAUUGUACAGAACAUUUGUGUUUUUGCAAGUACGUUUAAGUUGCACUUUGCCACUGUGUUUCGUUUAGGCUUCAUUACUUCAUGCCUGUGUGCUUAUCCUGAAGGCAGCGUCCUGAAAAACAAGUUCCCCAAAUGUUACACCUUCAAAAAAAAAAAAAGAGCCGAUUCAGCCCCCUUUGACACAGUGAUCCAUGUCAAGUCCCUUUCCCCAUUCCAUUGGACGGUGGUUUAAAAGCAUCUUUCACUGCUGUGCAGUCCUGCAGAUCAGAGACGCAUACUAAAAUCACUGUGCAGGCCAGUGCUGACGGAGACCGGAACUCACUUCAUGGGUUUGAUCCACGGCUGCUUUGCAUCGCUACUGCUUAACAGGGUUACGAUACUAUUAUUUGAAACAUUUAUUUCUUGAAACAAACAAAAAAUGCUAUUUUGUAAUGUCUAGUAUUGACUUGCCAUCAGUACUAUAAAGCAAAAAGAGAAUGAAAAGAACUGUACAGGAUGAGCCAAUUUUUCUACUCUGUUGUUGAAAAGGGAACGUAUGUUAACGCAUGAGAUCUCUUAUGUACACGCCCCGUCUAUCUGUUUUCCUGUGCUUAGUCUGAUAUGUUGUGGAGAUAUAGACAUCAUUGGAUCAUGCCCUUUGUCUUAACUGGUGCUGUGGAACCAUUCAAACAUGCUGUUAUGAACUUCCUCUCACCCCAACACGUCCUGGAUUUAAUGGACCUCUUGUUUUGAUGGCAAACCAGUGGCCAUAGAUGGUUUGGCCAAGAUCAGUAUGUAGAGAACAUCUCCCAGUGUUGUAGUCAAGACCAGUUCAGUUGAUCCUGAGUCAAAACUGUGUCCAGAAUGGGGUUGAGCUCGAGUCAAGAAAACCAAAUCCAAAACCAUAUUCUCAGACUCGACCGUCUUCUGGUCUCAGUCUUCACUCAGUCGACUGAUCAGUUCUCUACUCUACUACAACACUGACAUAUUCAUCUCAAGAUCUCAUUCAGAUUCUUGUGCUUGCUCAGAUAUGCAGAGAUCAACAAAAUAUUUAUCAUGACUGUUGCAGUCUUUUUUAGUCAAUGUGUUUUAGUUUU
ensembl:lncRNA